rnacentral:rRNA from 1 species
UACAGAGGGUGCAAGCGUUGUUCGGAAUUACUGGGCGUAAAGUGUGCGCAGGCGGCCGAGCAAGUCGAGUGUGAAAGCCCCGAGCUUAACUUGGGAAUUGCGCUCGAAACUACUUGGCUGGAGUGUGGCAGAGGAAGGUGGAAUUCCAGGUGUAGCGGUGAAAUGCGUAGAGAUCUGGAGGAACACCGAUGGCGAAGGCAGCCUUCUGGGCCAACACUGACGCUCAUGCACGAAAGCGUGGGGAGCAAACAGG